CAGCCGCCGCGGUAAUACGUAGGGUGCAAGCGUUAUCCGGAAUUAUUGGGCGUAAAGAGCUCGUAGGCGGUUUGUCGCGUCUGCUGUGAAAACUGGAGGCUCAACCUCCAGCCUGCAGUGGGUACGGGCAGACUAGAGUGCGGUAGGGGAGAUUGGAAUUCCUGGUGUAGCGGUGGAAUGCGCAGAUAUCAGGAGGAACACCGAUGGCGAAGGCAGAUCUCUGGGCCGUAACUGACGCUGAGGAGCGAAAGCAUGGGGAGCGAACAGGAUUAGAUACCCCGGUAGUCCCUGUCUCUUAUAC
rnacentral:rRNA from 1 species